UUUAAAGUUUUCUUUGGAUAUUUAUUUUGGUCUUCUUUGAUUUCAUUAUUGUUUUCUUUAUUUAUUUUAUUUAGUUGAGUGUUCUUUUGAUUGAUAGUAUUGAUUGCUUAUGUGAAUACUACGUUUGAUUAUAUAGAUUCCAACGGAGUGACGAAUAGUUCUACAAGUCAUUAUUUUUGAGAGCGUAUUUAUCUUCAUCAACUUACCAGGCAAGUUCACUUUGACCAUGUUUUCCAUACCUAUGUUUAUUUGCAUGUAGUAGCACCCUUUCAACAAUCCCUCCAUUAGUGUUAUUGAAUCUUGUAGUUAAGUAGAAUGCAUGAGGUAGAAACCCAUCUCCCUGUUACCAAACCCGGGACGUUAUAUAGUUUUAAUGCUACGCUAUAGUAGACGACGUUUGGUAUGAGUGCAUGAGAGUGGUGUGAAGAAGGAGGACUCAACGUCAAUGGUGACAACUUCAUGAUGGCACUGGCAAGGACUGCAUCUUCAGGACUCCUUCAAGAUUUCGAGACUCGAGACAAGAAUUCAAUACACACUACUGGGUGAAGGACGGUUGACGGGCACCCUGGAGAAACCAAUGGUUGGCCGGGACGCAUGGAGAAGCGCCAUGACAUCUUACGGAAAUCUUCACCCAGACUCAAAGAGACGAAAGAAUACUUCAUGCCUGGAAGCUUACCUGUGCAACCGCAAGUCACUAUGGGCUCUGGCUUGGUUGACCUUAGUUGUGACUCUGGCUGGGACGGUGCUAACAGAUGUAGAACAACGCUAGGAUUGGAUGAGCACCGGACAGUGGUCAGAGGAACUCUUCGGAAGACCAUGUUUCGAUCGUCCUGUUCUCAAACAUCUUGAAGUGCGAGGACGAAAGGGGAGGGAUCGAAUCUUGCGGGUAAAGUGUACAAACCUCUGCAGAGGGUUAAAACCUAAUCGAUUAGUCGUGUCCCCGGUUACGGACAAAUUGAGCCUCUGGACUUGGAUCUAUCCCAGAACUCUCAACACCGGACUGAUCACUUAAUUGUGGGAAACUUAUGAUGAUUUGGGCUAUGAGACAACGGUUGGCGGAACCAUGUCAUGAUAGAAAACUCCAUAGUACAGACUCCUGAUAUUCCUUUGUUGUAGGGAAAAUAAAACCAGCUUUUACGCAAAAACCUCAGACCCAGAGCCACAAAGCCAUAUUGCAUAUAGAAUAGUUUUCAUCUGUUUUUCUUACAGUGAUCUUGCCAAUACAUUCAAUGUACUAACCUACACGGCUGCAACGUAUCAUGUUGAAGGAUUUUAUCUAACGAAUGAGUUCCAUUGAUUGGGUUACGGUCUACACUCAACCUGCCGAUGGUGUUGAUGGGACUCCACACCCGAUUGUUUGUUUUCGCUGAGAAUUAUGAGGUAUAUAUCAAUUUUACGUUAUUUAUACAUGUGAUUGCACUUUGAUAUAUACAUUGAUGUACUGUGUGUGCCAGCAUACUGAUCCAGGGAUGGCACAGAUACACAGAGACUUGACCGUCUGAGGUCAGGUUGCUACAGAUAUGGUAUCAGAGCACAUGUUGACUGUAGGACGUGACCCUAGAAAUCGGAAAGCCCCAGGAUAGGAAAUCUGUAAAAUCUUUUUUUAAAACAUCCCUUACUUCUCAUCUUUUUUGAUUUUAUAAAAUAUCCUCUCUUACCGCAAAUAGUUAGAAUAUACCCCUUUCCCUUUUGACCACAUGGAGGAUCAACUGAAGCCGCUCCAAGAAGGACAAGAUAUCGGACAACCGAUGACCAUUUCAGAGUAAACAUGAUUUGACCAUGCAUUAGAAGAGUUGAAGCGACACCAGUUGAAGACUCCGACGACUUGAAGAAUCAGAAGAAUUAUUUGACCGCUAUAGGACCAAACCCCUGUUAUACACUUACGUUAGAUGCGAUGAUUUGUGAGCUAUCAUUUGUUUGAUGUUUUUUUGACAGCCACAAAAUAAAACUCGUUUCUUCAAAACUAUUGUUUGUAUUGUGUGUAUCCCUCCCCACCUCUCUCUUAUCUCACCCUAAAACCCUUGGACCCAGUAGAUGAUGAAUAAAGUUGGACUGGUAUUCUCUGAACCGAAAACCCAGCCGGAGGCAGAGCUAUGGAUUCAGAACAUGGAGAAUCACUUCGGGAGCAAUUUGGUUUCAAGGAAGAAUGAAGUAUCGUACGCUCUUCGGUACUUUGAAGGAAGUGCUGCAACAUGGUAUCAGAUGCAUCAAGCUAUACAGGGAUGGAAUGGAGCAAGGACUUAGGAAGAAUUCAAGAAUACUCUGACAAGAUCCCGUCUUAUCCGGAAGCACCAUGAUACCCCAAGAAAUAAACCUUGUGCCUACAAGAUUUGCGGAGAAAUAGGACACACCCAGGAGGAACACAAGGAUGGAUGCCCUCAUUGUGAGGAGAAACACCUAGAUGAGGAAUGCCCAACUAGUCAGGUGACUUGUUUCUUGUGUGAAGGAACCACCCACUACCCAGCUCAGUGUCACAUUUCCCCCACGGUGCAACAAACUAUUCAGAAGCAGGAAGAAGGAAUGAAAGAAGCCCUCCGAGAAGUUAUGAAAGAACCCGUGAUUAAGGAAAGUGUUGAAGACCCUGAUGGAGAAGGCCUCAACAGAUUUUACUCCAAUGCCUGUUAUUCAUAAUAUUGCACAAUAUUGCACCAAGGAAAGAAAAGAGUAUCUGGGAUACUUCCUGACAAAAGCAAUGGAGUUUGAUCCACAGGGCAUAGAAUGUUCGAUCAGAACGAAGAAAACCAGGAAGAGAAAACGAAGACACCCUUAGAACAACCCAAUUUCUGCAAAUAGGGACAAGAGUCAUAUUUCCUGUUUUGAAUGUAAGGACAUCGGGCAUUAUGCCAAUGAUUGUAUCGAAAGGAAACAAGGAACUCAAGGAACAGGCACCAUCACCAAGAAGCCUCGAGACAUGCCGGAAGUUAUUUGUUUUCGUUGCAAGGAAGCAGGACAUUUUUCUAGGGAUUGUUCAAAUCAUGAGAAAGCUGGAGCUGAGUAGUGGAGAUGUUGAUAUCAGUAAUAAGGGUAGUAUGGAAAACACUUUUUAAUGAGAAUGCGGGGUUGAGUUAUGUAAUAGAUUACUCAAAGAUUGUAAUAAUUCAUGACACAAUAAAGUUGAUAUGUCAUAUGCUGAAAGGCUUUAAGGAGUUGUUAUGUUUUUUCUUGGAAAUUAAUAUUUUGGGUGAACAUGGAAGAAAAUGAGUUGUGAUGCACAAACUGGAUGUUGGAAAUUGAGUUUGAAGUUUUGUUUGGAUGAUAUGAAUGUGUACCCAAGGAGGUAUGUAUCUUAUUCUGAGCACCAUUUUUGUUUUACAACUGCAGAUGACGACCCUUUAUGAGUCUUUCCUAAAGGGACCGGAAACGAUCAUGACCCUGACAAGUGAUCAUGAUUACCCCAAAAUCCUAAAGGACAUGAUGAAGCAUAUUCACCUUGAAGGAGAUGCAGUCUACAAAGGCUACCCCUUCAUGCAAAAGGGAGUGGAACUUUGGUAUGUGGAGGUACACCUCCACCGUAUGAAAGGAGUUUGCCUAAAGAUGAUGUGGCAGUACUUUUUCAUCUCACGUGUACCACAAGAAACUUUCUUCGAUGCUGUUCGUGAAGCAGCCAUGGAAGCCUUACGCCAGAUCGAAGAAAUACUUGAAGCAAGACUCUGUUAUACUCAGGAAUACCUAAGAGAAGUGCAUGCUGAGAUGAUGGAGAUGAAGCUCAAGGCCACCAUGAUGAAACAGAAGAUUGAAGAUUUCAAGGAGCAUGUCACCCAAUUCUAGUGGGACUGAAGGAUCCUCAAGGAGGAAAAAUGAAUAAAGUGGGAAGACCAAACCAUGUGGAUGGUGGCAUUUGUAAUAAUGUACUUUUUGGAAUUUGGAUUUAUGAAAAAUGGUUAAGGAUGUAAUAAAAGAUUUGAUAUGAAAAUAAUAUGAUUUAUGGAUGAACUAGUGCAUUCCAUUUUAAGUGUGGUAGUACUUUGUAAAGCCACAGGAUCAAUGAAGAAAGAAAGGUGUUGUUCAUGAAGGUCCAUAGAAAGGAGCCAGACAAAAUAAGUUGGAGUUUGAUUAUGAUGGUUACCCCAAGAGUAUGACAAAAUGAAGUACUAUUGGAUUUAAAGGAUGUGUAAUGUUGGAAUAUGGAAGAACUGUAAUUCCAUGGAUGAGUUAACACUAUGCAAGUGCUGAAGUGGACCCAUAACCCACAGGCCCAGGAUUUGACCAAGGCACAAGCACAAUCUUGUUGAAGGAAGAAUUCUGGAAGAGUUACGUAAACCCCAAGAUUGUGAAGAACGAUAGAUGUUUUGUUCAGCUUACAGAAUCAAUGGAUUUACCCGAACCCAGUUCGAGGACAAGAGAAAUUUCCGCAAAGCUUGUGAGGAUGCCCGAGUGUUAGAAAUACGAGAUUCGCUAAACCUUAUACAGGGUAAUGAUCUGGAUGCGGAAUGGAUUGAUCACCAUACUGACUUACUCUUAUCAUUCACUCUUGAUAUUUGGAAUGGUAAAUCUGAGAGACUUACCCAUAGUAAAGUGAUGACGCUCGUUGAAGCUUUGCUUAAGCCUUAGAAUGGUAUGAUGAUAAACCCAUGUACAUGGCAGCUAUUGCCAAUCGUAGAUUAUACAGUGAGAAUGAAGCCAAGGCCCUUUUUCUGCAGAAACCAUUAAUGGUAGACCACCAUGAGUAUUUUGAUAGUUGUCUAGAAUGUACGCAGACCUAUCAGCUAAGAAGAUCCAGUCUCGGAUGAACUUCAUCUUUGACGAAGCGAUCCAAGAUUUUGAGGAAAAUGCUAUGCCUAUGACAGAAAAGCGUUAAUGAAGGAGCUAUUGUAAGAUAUGUGAAGAGACAUAUAUCGUCGGCACUCCAGAGGAAGUACCUGAGUUUAUUGGAACCCUAACCUUGCUUUUAAGUGUGGUAGCACCCCUGACCUUUCCGACCAAAAUAUUUGCUAGAAGACCCCCAACCCCUAACCUUUUCUUGCUAGCCUCUUCGAAUCUCGAGGACGAGAUUCAUUUUAAGUGUGGUAAGUUUGUAACAUCCCAAAAUUCUAUAUUUUGGAAUGUUAUAAUAAAUAAAUAUUUAUGAUUUUUUGUUUGAUUGUUGUGUGAUUGAUUGUGUGAAAUUGAGUGGAAUUUGAAACUUUUUGAAAGUUGAAUGAGAGGGAAUGAAAUGACUUUCCCAAACUUUCACCUUGCAUCUUUAUCUCCAAGAAUUCAAAUUCAUUUCAAUUACAAAACCCUAGAGUGAAGAUGAUAUGACUUCUUCCAUUCAAAGAAAUGAAAAGGGGUUUGAAAAGAUUUGAAUUCCAUCUGAAAAUAUUUCAAAUUUGAAACUUUAUGCAACUCAAUGAUUUUUACGAGAGAAGAUAAAAUGACUUCUUCAAUUAUAUGAAAUAUGAGUUGGAAGUUACAAACAAUCAAAUUGAAAGUCAUUUGGAAGUAUUUUGAAACUCCCUUUCAAUUCGGAAUUAUUUGGAUUUUACUCAAAUUAUUUUUCUCCUAAAAAUAAAUAAAUGGAAACAAGGGUAAAAUGAUUCCCUUCAAUGGAAAAUUAGGAGAAAAUAAAUUUGAAAUCAUUUUGGUAUUUUAAAAAUGAUUUUGUUGGGUUUUAAUGCAACGGUAGCAUUGUUCGCUUUAUAUAUAUAUAUAUAUAUAUAUAUAUAUAUAUAUAUAUAUAUUGGUGGAUUUUAUUUGAACUUUAGAAAUGGUUCAUGUUUUAGGAAAUGUUUUUCCGAACAUUUUGAUAUAUAAUAUGCCUAUAUAAUAUUUCCAUUUUGCUUGGUUUGUGACUUUUCCUACUGUGUGUUAUUAAAAAAAGAGAAAACCAAAAACCAAAUGGCCGAAGCCAUCGGACCGCAGCCCACCUACGCGCCAGGCCGGCCCAGCCAGCUCCGCGCCCCGCACUCGAAUCUCAACCGAUCGGUCGCCCGCUCCCCCUCGACUCCGCCCGCUGCCACUGACCGUUGGGCCCCGCAUCUUCUUCCUCCUCCCGCAAGCCACGCGCUCGCCUGGAGCAACGCCCGCGCCGCCGUAUCCCGGAGAUCUCGGGAUCGCGAUCUCCCGAUUCGUCCCCUCCUCCAAGAACCCCUCCCCCUAUAUAUACCCCUCCUCCUCGUCAGUUUCCUCCCUAAAGCCGUCCCGAACCCCUCUCCAUCGCCUGCAAUCCCUCGCCGGAACCCGAGCGCCGUCGCGCACCAUUGUCGCCCUAGCUCUCCACUACGACCACCUCAUAGCCGUCCGAACCCACCACUGAACCCCCUCGCUCGCCCGCACCUCCCCAUGCCCUCGCCCUCUCCCAAAACCGACCGGAGCACCACCAACGUCGACCACCCGACGCCAUCUCCGCCUCGACCUCGCUGCCGUUCGACUCUGUUGUCUCCAAAGCCGCUACCGACCACCGCUGAGCUCGCCAUCCAGCGCCUCGUCAUCUGGUGCUCUUCCCCGACGCGGAUGACCAUGGGAGCAUCGCCAUUGUCGACCACCGCCGCCACCGCCGUCUCCGGAAUUCCACCGCCGCCGCUGUGAGCUCUCCUUCUCUCCUUCUCUCCUCCCCGUCCGAUCUUAAUCUAACGGUGUAGAUUAGAUCCCACGAACAGUUAGGUUUAUUUUUGUUAGAUCGGGUUUUAGUCACAGUUUUUCUUCGGUUUAGAUCUAACCAGCCGAUCGGGUUAGUUUAUUUGAUUGCACGUAUGUGUUUUAGUUAGGGUUCCACCGAGCGCAGUUUAGCGUCGGAUCGCACAUCCUCUAGCCCAGUAGCAGCCCGACGCUUAGCUAGUGCCCGAUUGUUUUUUUCGUUUGUGUUUUAAAAACAGAAUAGUUCUGAUUUUAUAUUGCUUAUAACUUUUAUGUUUUAGAUCCAAAUUGAUUGAUUAUUUUUGCACUGUGUCACAAAUUUGUUGAAGUUUCCGUUUGUGUACUUGGAUUUCAAUUUUGAGUAGCUGUAGUUUGAAUUUGCAUGAAUUUGCCUCAAACACUAUUUUGGCCAUAACUUGAGUUUGAAAGUAUAUUUUAAGUUGAUUCUUUUUGCUCCUGGUCACUAGGACUUUUGCUUAUCCAUUAGAUUAUAGUGAUUUAUUUUUAGUUUAUUUAAAUUAGGGUUUUAGCGAAAAACAGUACUGUUUUCUAUGUAGUUUUGUUUUUCUUGUAACUUAGUAAGUUCUGUUUAGAUUUAAUUAAUUCUUUUCGCAAAGUUUUGUUGAUUGAAAUUUACAUAUGUUAGACUUCAGUACAAUUUUAGAAAUUAUUUUUAUUAGUUUUGCUACUGUUUAGGAUUUCAGUUUAGCAUAGCUAGUAUAUAGUGUAUGUAAUAGCUAGUAUUGUACUUAUUUUUGCUAGAAAUUAUUUUAGAUAAUUUAUUUCUGUUGUUUUAAUGGAAAUAGAUUUUAUUUUCUGUUAAGAAAUUGUUUAGAUUAAUUUAGUGUGCUUAUGAAAGUUAUUGGUUGAUAGUGUGUUGGUUUUCCCUAGUUUUCUUUAAAGUUUUCUUUGCAUAUUUAUUUUGGUCUUUUUUGAUUUCAUUAUUGUUUUCUUUAUUUAUUUUAUUUAGUUGAGUGUUCUUUUGAUUGAUAGUAUUGAUUGCUUAUGUGAAUACUACGUUUGGUUAUAUAGAUUCCAACGGAGUGACGAAUAGUUCUACAAGUCAUUAUUUUUGAGAGCGUAUUUAUCUUCAUCAACUUACCAGGCAAGUUCACUUUGACCAUGUUUUCCAUACCUAUGUUUAUUUGCAUGUAGUAGCACCCUUUCAACAAUCCCUCCAGUAGUGUUAUUGAAUCUUGUAGUUGAGUAGAAUGCAUGAGGUAGAAACCCAGCUCCCUAUUACCAAACCCGGGAC
rnacentral:lncRNA from 1 species